rnacentral:lncRNA from 1 species
ACACAACUCAAAACAAAAGUCCUUGUCUUGUCGACAAAUUAUAUAACCAACAACACAACUUAAAAUCAGAAACCAGUUGGGGAACUACAACACGGAACCCUUAGCAUAUGUUUCCGUGAAGGGAAAGGUUGAAGAGAAAAAGAGAAAAAUCAAAGAGAGAAAGAAAGAAAGAAAGAAAGGAGAGGAAAGAGUCCCCCUUUCUCUCCUGACAACAACUAAGCCACAAGAACUCUCCAGAAACCGGUCAUUUAUAUAUGUUUUUAUGCUUUUUUUUUUUUUU